rnacentral:rRNA from 1 species
UACGUAGGGCGCAAGCGUUGUCCGGAAUUAUUGGGCGUAAAGAGCUCGUAGGCGGUCUGUCGCGUCUGUUGUGAAAACUCGAGGCUCAACCUCGGGCUUGCAGUGGAUACGGGCAGACUAGAGUGCGGUAGGGGAGACUGGAAUUCCUGGUGUAGCGGUGGAAUGCGCAGAGUAUCAGGAGGAACACCGAUGGCGAAGGCAGGACUCUGGGCCGCAAC